rnacentral:rRNA from 1 species
ACGGGUGAGUAACGCGUGGGAAUCUACCCAUCUCUACGGAACAACUCCGGGAAACUGGAGCUAAUACCGUAUACGUCCUUCGGGAGAAAGAUUUAUCGGAGAUGGAUGAGCCCGCGUUGGAUUAGCUAGUUGGUGGGGUAAUGGCCUACCAAGGCGACGAUCCAUAGCUGGUCUGAGAGGAUGAUCAGCCACACUGGGACUGAGACACGGCCCAGACUCCUACGGGAGGCAGCAGUGGGGAAUAUUGGACAAUGGGCGCAAGCCUGAUCCGGCCAUGCCGCGUGAGUGAUGAAGGCCCUAGGGUUGUAAAGCUCUUUCAACGGUGAAGAUAAUGACGGUAACCGUAGAAGAAGCCCCGGCUAACUUCGUGCCAGCAGCCGCGGUAAUACGAAGGGGGCUAGCGUUGUUCGGAAUUACUGGGCGUAAAGCGCACGUAGGCGGAUACUUAAGUCAGGGGUGAAAUCCCGGGGCUCAACCCCGGAACUGCCUUUGAUACUGGGUAUCUCGAGUCCGGAAGAGGUGAGUGGAAUUCCGAGUGUAGAGGUGAAAUUCGUAGA